AUAACCCACACAGAUAAAGUUCACGGGAUUGUCCCAGGGAAGAGUAUAAAUACGAGGAAUGCCCCAUCCUUGUUACUGUGUUGUGAUUUGUCAACUACUGAAUACAGCCCACAAAAUGCGUUUGUUCCUUGUCCUCCUGCUUGUGGCCACAGUGAUGGUGUCAGAGUCUGAUGCCUGGAGACGUGUUCGAUGGCGAAGAGUUGCCAGAAUAGCUGGCACAGCAGUAAAAGUUGGAUCUGUAUUGUUGGGCAAACGUGAUGUGGAAAGCCUUGAUGCAAACAUGGAUGGAACAAUUGACCAAUCAGAAGCUGAGACGAUAAUGGACAGACGAUCGGCCAUGGAGUUGCUUUCUUUUUGCAGAUGAAAAUGGAGACACAAACGUGAGUUUGGAAGAGUUCGCCAGGACCAUCGAGAACAUUGAGGAAUGAAUUGGGAUAACCCCAUUGUAGAGAGUGGCACUACACCAUUGAAGUUGAUCUCGUAAAUGAUUCUGAAUGAUUCCGUUGCAAGUGUAUGAUUUCAAUAAAUCAUCAUAACCAUCAA
rnacentral:lncRNA from 1 species